rnacentral:rRNA from 1 species
CCCAGUGGUGCAGCCGCUACUAAAGGUUCGUUUGUUCAACGAUUAAAACCCUACGUGAUCUGAGUUCAGACCGGAGUAAUCCAGGUCAGUUUCUAUCUAUAAAGAGUUUUUUCUAGUACGAAAGGACCGAAAAAACAUGGCCCAUACUUUAUGCAAGCCAUAAUUACUAACUUAUGACCAAAUCUUAAUAAGUACCUAAUCUACUACUAAACUCAAAAAAAGAGUA